rnacentral:rRNA from 1 species
UACGACUACAUAUCAGGCAUAUCAAUAAGCGGAGGAAAAGAAACUAACAAGGGAUUCCCUUAGUAACGGCGAGUGAAGCGGGAAGAGCUCAAAUUUGAAAUCUUCAAGGUUCUACCUUGACGAAUUGUAGUUUAAAGAAGUGUUUUCUGUUAGAUGAGUAGCAAAAGUUCCUUGGAAUGGGACAUCAUAGAGGGUGAGAAUCCCGUAUUUGGUUAUUCAUUCUAGCUUUGUGAUACACUUUCAAAGAGUCGGAUUGUUUGGGAAUGCAGUCCAAAAUGGGUGGUAAAUUUCAUCUAAAGCUAAAUAUUGGCGGAGAGACCGAUAGCGAACAAGUACCGUGAGGGAAAGAUGAAAAGAACUUUGAAAAGAGAGUUAAACAGUACGUGAAAUUGUCAAAAGGGAAGCGUUUGACACCAGUGUUGUUUUUCCGAAAAUCAAUUACGAAUGGCUUGAUUUUGUGUUGUAUUGACCUUAUCAGCUUUCUUCACUUUUUUCGAGUCUUUCUUAAUGCACUUUUCGGUUAACAAGUCAACAUCAAUUUCUUUUGUUGUAAAAGAGUAUUCGGAAGGUGGCUUUCUUUUCGGAGAAAGUGUUUAUAGCCCUAUACUUCUACAAUCGGAGAGAUUGAGGUCUGCAGCGUAGAUCCUUCGGGGUUAGAUACACUUGUGCUAAGUUGUAGCUUUUCAUAGACAACUUGUUGACUAUGUUUAGUCAUGCGGCUUACUCGCUUGUGCUAUUUUACCUACGCUUAGGAUGUUGAGUAGCGACAUACGCAC